GGCUAUAUAAAUACACGUCAUAUUACAUUACAUUACAUUACAUACUGUAGAGUGUUCAAAUGACAGUAAGACUUUAGUUUGAGGUCAUAGUUAGUUAAGGCCUUUUAUACAUUAGUUUUCCAAUCAUGCAUUCAAUGUUAAUCUUUUUAAUUAUUGCUUGCACAAUAUAGUGUUCCAGCAUCAACAUUGCAAUGUGUGCAUUUCUAAUUGUCAUAUUGCAGGAUGUGCAGUGUCGAGUCGGAAUUAUAGUUGACCAGCAUCACAGUUUUGGAGUGACUGAAUAUAUUAACCACAAUAAUAGAGUGAAAGUUUAUCAUGUGUUUUUAGGUAUGUGAGUUUAAAGCAUCCAGGACAAUUAUAAAUUAUAACAUUUGUAGCUUUAACAAAGAUUACGUGUAUUUAAUCAUUUAUACAACGGAUACUAUACAGUGUUAUUUUACAUCUGAUCACUCAAUUUUUGUAUCUGAAAAUUGUUAGAUUCCCCAGAAAGUCACUGAUUAUUCCAUUUGUAUCUUUUUUUGCAUUUUAUUUAUCUAUGCUUGGGAUUUUCAUAUACUAUAUUUCUAUAUUUAGCAGAUGCAGACACCUACAAAAAUUAAAGUCAUUAUACAACGAUCUAUUAUUAUUCUUUUUUUUUUCAAAUAAAGAUUUUUUUUUUCUUCUGGUACAAUCGUUUCCAUAUUGUAUUUGCCCAUCCUAUUUCGCCAUCAUGAAAUUUCAGCCAUCAGGCAAGUAGCCAGCAAGUGCACAGCAAUAGUUAUGUAGGUUUAUAGUUUUUGGUUAUUUAUAGUUUGGUUAUUUUGGUUAAUUAUACUGUAGCUCUUGGUUAUUAUAUCUCUGAAAUUGCUUACUAGUCCAUCUGAAAUCCGCAUCAAUCAGCUGACCCAUCAGCAAAUCCUUUGUAUAUAUGUGCACGGUUCGACUAUACACAUGACGCCAAUAUACAGUAUAUAGAAAAAAAAUGUUAGCUUUUCUUUUUUUUUUUUUUUUUUACAACAAAAGAGCAGCCCUAUUUUAAAUGGUGUAACCCCUUUCAGUUCUACUCGCCCUGCCUCUAGCAGGAUUUGAACCAGCAUUUCUGGCAAGGGAGGCAGGCACGCUAACAAGGCAGAUCACUAAAAGCUAAGCCUUCAGAAUUAGUCAUUAGUGCACCUCUAGAGGCCAGGGGAAUGCAGUUUACUCAAACACUUCCUACUAGCUGGCCUUAUACCUUUCUCACUCCCUAAACCUUACUCCCACCUGGGUCACCUGUAACUCCUCCAGUUCUACUCGUCCAACUCUAAAAAGAAUUUGCUUUUUGCCAGCAUGGAAGAGAGGCAUGCAAACAAUGAAACUAAAAGCAGAGCCUCUAGUAUCAGUGGCUAGUGAUUAAGCUGAUAUUUAAUAUAUUUUGACAAUGAACAUGCGUGAUAUUUUUGAACAUGCGUGGCACUUCAAAAUACCACUAAUAGUUAUUUAGAAUUGAAACUUUCUAUAGUGCCUUUUAUAAAUAUUCAGACUGCUGAAUUGGCAAUGGUUGUUCAUCACAGCAUAAAAUGCUUGAAGACUUAAUAGGCAAUUUAUUUUCAAACAUUCAUAUGUUCAACUUGUCUUCGAAAUGAUAUAUUAAUUGAAAAGGUUUUGAUAUAUGCCUAUUAGGGCUGUGCAAUUAAUGAAAUUUAAAUUUGAUUUCAUUUUGGCCUCCAACGAUAAUGAAAAAAAAAACACUAAUUGAGAUUAAAUGAUUAUUGCGUCAUACCCGCCACCUUUCAGCAGUCCACAUUUAUUUCUCCACAAAGCUCAAUUACAUGUGGAAAUUAAUGAAAGCGUGUUGGCCUGAUGUGAUAUUUGCAGCAUGAGAUUGGCUACAUUUUUUGCCAUGUAUUUGAUUCAUUCAUGUUUUUCAAAGCAUGAAAGAAAACUGUUGCUUUUGUAAACAUGUGCUCAGCCUCAGAGACGAACAGAUCAUACCCAUGUAAAAUAAUGUUUUAGCUUAAGGUGCAUGCUUAAAUCUUCAAAUCCAGGCAAAAAUGUCAAAACAUGGCACUUCGUGACUUUUCAACCCUUGUUUGUUAUGUAAAAAAACAGAUGAAAGGGUUGAGAAUGAAAAAAACAUGAAAAUUAGUUGAAGAUGAUCAAUGAUUAUUUUUUCAUUCCAUUUGCCAUUUAAUAUUAAUCAUUGAUUUUACUCACAAUGAAUACUACAAAGGCAUUUAUUAAUCUUAGGUGAUGUUCAUUUCUUAAAUAAUGCUCAAUAACUCUCAUUUACAUUGGUCACCUUCACUCAAAAAAAUGAACUUUCCCUAUUGUUAGUUUUACUAAACCCAUCCUUGUUCACAUUACAUAAAACAUAAUAGUAAUUAAAUUAACAUAAGUUUACCAUGUUAUUUCUACAAAAAUGUAGUACUGUAGGCUUUACUUAAUAAGGGUUUGACAGGCCAACUUAACAUUGUUGAGUAAAACGCAAAAACCUCUUAAGAUUGGAUAUUUGCUGAUACCGUAGCUACCUACCUGGAGGCGGAGCAACGGAACAGUCAGAGAGAGGAACAUGUGAAGCACAUGAGGAGGAGAAGAUGGUGGCUUUGUCAGAUUGCUGCUGAAUUCAGUCGAAUCACUACUGUCCCACUAAUUCAAACAUUUUUCAAAACUGGAUGGUUACACCAGCAAGCUGGACAGCAUUUACCGUACAAAAGAAGAAAUUGCAAAACGGAAAAUUUGAAAACUCAUGGCUACCAUAGACAAGGUUUGUUAUCUGUAUUUAUGAUGCUUAUAAAUAAUUUCCACUUUAGUAUGGUGUUUUUUUCAUUGUAUAUACCUAAUGUCUCUUCUACAGAAUGAUGCCAUCUCAACUUGGAGAGCUUGCAUUCUCAGAGCACUUUCUGUGUAUCUUAAUGAAGACUAUUAAAACCUCAUGAAGGAGUAUACAGCGACAGACUUUGAGAGAGACAUGGCCAAUACUGUCAUUUAAAUCUACAUCGUUAAGCCUGAAGGUGUAGAAGUCUGUGACCCACCAUCAGUUGCUGGACUGAUUUUUGAGGGAGUAAAAGUGCUUCAGAACCUUGGCGAUGUCACCAAGGCUUGUUCUCUUUCUUUGAGAGUCAAAUACAGCGUGAAUCUCAGUUAUCCUUCAGACCUGAAAUACACUUUUGAGUUUUUCAGAAAGUGUUGCUGGGACUUGCACAUAAACUGUCACACAAAAUACAAGUUCUCAAAAACAAACUUGUUGGCUGAAUCAGUACAUCAUUCUGUACGAAUGAAAGAAAAAGAGGAAGAAGCUUUUUUGAGACACUUAAAUUGUUUCUAGUUUUAAAAUUAAGGGCCAAUUUUAAAGUUAUCUUUGUCGAUGGCACCAAAGUUUUAAAUGGAGUUCUACAACUUUAAAUGGUUAUAAUUGUUUGAUUAUUUACAAAGAUUCAGAUUUUCAGUUUUAUUCUUUUCUUUGCUUUUUUUAAAUUCUUAUGCUGCUUGUCUUAAACUUUCCUUUUCAUUUUCAAAGUAAAAUUUAUUACUUGCAGUUGCACAUAUUGAAAGAACAUUUUGGUCAAUAGUAAAACUUCUUUUAUAAAUUUUUUUAUGUUUAUUUUUUUUAAACAAGCUGUUGUUUUGUGGUGGUUUUCAUAAAUAAAGGUCAGUUGUAUACUUUAACAAUAUAUUAAACCUUUUGAAAUAUCAGCAAUUGAGCAUUGUAGCAUUUUGUGACACUGGAAAAAAAUGUCAAAUUACUUUUGUAAAUUUGCUCUUAUACAUUUUUCUUCCAAUAUUUGAAGUAGCACAUUGUAAGAAUGUUCACUAUUGACCAAAUGUUGCUUUUGCAUUUUUUUUCUUUCUUUUUGUACUAUUAUUUGAACUGUUUGAGAAUGUUUACAAAAAUAGAGGCCAGUUUUAAUGUUACUCUCACUGUUGAUUGUAAAGAUCAGAAAUGAAUUUUAGCAGUAUUUUAACAUUCCAUGUACAACAUUUUUCAAAGUAAGAUUAUUUCAGAUUCUUAAAGCCAGUUGCACUUUAAAAGACCCUGUAAAUGUUAACUGAAAGCAUCUGAUGUUUUAGUGUGUUUGUUUCAAAGGAAAAUUGAAAUUGUUUUAUGGGUUUUUAGCAGUUGUAUGUUGCAAAACAUUGCAAAGAAAAUAAAUUCAUUUUGUUUCUAAA